rnacentral:misc_RNA from 1 species
AACCUAGCACACCUGCGGUGUGUACCUGCGGAAGGAUCAUUACAGAGUUGCAAGACUCCCUAAACCAUUGUGAACCUACCUUCUACCGUUGCUUCGGCGGGCGGGCCCAGCGCCCCCCCGGCCCCCCGCGGGCGCCCGCCGGAGGAUACCCAAACUCUUGACAUUAGUGGCCUCUCUGAGUAUUCUUUACUGAAUAAGUCAAAACUUUCAGCAACGGAUCU